rnacentral:rRNA from 1 species
GACGGUCUUGCUGUCACUUAUAGAUGGAUCCGCGCUGCAUUAGCUAGUUGGUAAGGUAACGGCUUACCAAGGCAACGAUGCAUAGCCGACCUGAGAGGGUGAUCGGCCACACUGGAACUGAGACACGGUCCAGACUCCUACGGGAGGCAGCAGUAGGGAAUCUUCCGCAAUGGGCGAAAGCCUGACGGAGCAACGCCGCGUGAGUGAUGAAGGUCUUCGGAUCGUAAAACUCUGUUAUUAGGGAAGAACAUAUGUGUAAGUAACUGUGCACAUCUUGACGGUACCUAAUCAGAAAGCCACGGCUAACUACGUGCCAGCAGCCGCGGUAAUACGUAGGUGGCAAGCGUUAUCCGGAAUUAUUGGGCGUAAAGCGCGCGUAGGCGGUUUUUUAAGUCUGAUGUGAAAGCCCACGGCUCAACCGUGGAGGGUCAUUGGAAACUGGAAAACUUGAGUGCAGAAGAGGAAAGUGGAAU